rnacentral:rRNA from 1 species
AUUGAACGCUGGCGGCAUGCCUUACACAUGCAAGUCGAGCGGCAGCGCGGGGGCAACCCUGGCGGCGAGCGGCGGACGGGUGAGUAAUACAUCGGAACGUGUCCUUUCGUGGGGGAGUAACCAGUCGAAAGACUGGCUAAUACCGCAUGAGAUCUCACGAUGAAAGCGAGGGAUCCGCAAGGACCUCGCGCGAUUGGAGCGGCCGAUGUCGGAUUAGCAGUUGGCGGGGUAAAGCCCACCAAGGCGACGAUCCGUAGCUGGUUUGAGAGAACGACCAGCCACACUGGGACUGAGACACGGCCCAGACUCCUACGGGAGGCAGCAGUGGGGAAUUUUGGACAAUGGGCGCAAGCCUGAUCCAGCCAUGCCGCGUGUGUGAAGAAGGCCUU